AUUGAACGCUGGCGGCAGGCCUAACACAUGCAAGUCGAGCGGUAACACAGGGAGCUUGCUCCUGGGUGACGAGCGGCGGACGGGUGAGUAAUGUCUGGGAAACUGCCUGAUGGAGGGGGAUAACUACUGGAAACGGUAGCUAAUACCGCAUAACGUCGCAAGACCAAAGAGGGGGACCUUCGGGCCUCUUGCCAUCAGAUGUGCCCAGAUGGGAUUAGCUAGUAGGUGGGGUAACGGCUCACCUAGGCGACGAUCCCUAGCUGGUCUGAGAGGAUGACCAGCCACACUGGAACUGAGACACGGUCCAGACUCCUACGGGAGGCAGCAGUGGGGAAUAUUGCACAAUGGGCGCAAGCCUGAUGCAGCCAUGCCGCGUGUAUGAAGAAGGCCUUCGGGUUGUAAAGUACUUUCAGCGGGGAGGAAGGCGUUGAGGUUAAUAACCUCAGCGAUUGACGUUACCCGCAGAAGAAGCACCGGCUAACUCCGUGCCAGCAGCCGCGGUAAUACGGAGGGUGCAAGCGUUAAUCGGAAUUACUGGGCGUAAAGCGCACGCAGGCGGUCUGUCAAGUCGGAUGUGAAAUCCCCGGGCUCAACCUGGGAACUGCAUUCGAAACUGGCAGGCUAGAGUCUUGUAGAGGGGGUAGAAUUCCAGGUGUAGCGGUGAAAUGCGUAGAGAUCUGGAGGAAUACCGGUGGCGAAGGCGGCCCCCUGGACAAAGACUGACGCUCAGGUGCGAAAGCGUGGGGAGCAAACAGG
rnacentral:rRNA from 1 species